rnacentral:rRNA from 1 species
AACGAACGCUGGCGGCAUGCCUAACACAUGCAAGUCGAACGAGACCUUCGGGUCUAGUGGCGCACGGGUGCGUAACGCGUGGGAACCUGCCCUUAGGUUCGGAAUAACUCCCCGAAAGGGGUGCUAAUACCGGAUAAUGUCUUCGGACCAAAGAUUUAUCGCCUUUGGAUGGGCCCGCGUUGGAUUAGCUAGUUGGUAGGGUAAAAGCCUACCAAGGCGACGAUCCAUAGCUGGUCUGAGAGGAUGAUCAGCCACACUGGGACUGAGACACGGCCCAGACUCCUACGGGAGGCAGCAGUGGGGAAUAUUGGACAAUGGGCGAAAGCCUGAUCCAGCAAUGCCGGGGGAGUGAUGAAGGCCUUAGGGUUGUAAAGCUCUUUUACCCGGGAUGAUAAUGACAGUACCGGGAGAAUAAGCCCCGGCUAACUCCGU